rnacentral:tRNA from 1 species
GCCCCCGUAGCUCAAUUUGGUAGAGCAGCUUCCUUUUAAGAAGACGGUUCCCUGUUCGAGUCAGGGCGGGGGCA